AAUUUUUCGCAAUGGGGGCAACCCUGACGAAGCAAUGCCGCGUGAAUGAAGAAGGCCUUCGGGUUGUAAAGUUCUUUCGUGGGAGACGAAAAGGUGGUCGCUAAUAUCGGUUACUGUUGACGUGAACCCGAGAAGAAGCACCGGCUAACUCCGUGCCAGCAGCCGCGGUAAUACGGAGGGUGCGAGCGUUAAUCGGAAUUACUGGGCGUAAAGGGCGCGUAGGCGGUUGGUUACGUCUGCCGUGAAAUCCCCGGGCUCAACCUGGGAAUGGCGGUGGAAACGGGCUGACUAGAGUAUGGGAGAGGGUGAUGGAAUUCCAGGUGUAGCAGUGAAAUGCGUAAAGAUCUGGAGGAACAUCAAUGGCGAAGGCGGUCACCUGGCCCAAUACUGACGCUGAGGCGCGAAAGCGUGGGGAGCAAACAGGAUUAGAUACCCUGGUAGUCCACGCCCUAAACGAUGGAUACUAGAUGUUUGGUGCCUUAGGUGCUGAUUGCCGUAGCUAACCCGAUAAGUAUCCCCCCUGGGAAGUACGGCCGCAAGGUUAAAACUCAAAUGAAUUGACGGGGG
rnacentral:rRNA from 1 species